GCUGUUUGUAGGAGGGCAAGGAUGUGAAGUUCACCCUUCAAAAGAUAUCUCCAUUAGAACCUGGAGAAACCCAAAGAGUUCUUCAAAGGGCCGAGUACUAGAAAAGUCAAGGCGAGGGUUGAGAUGGUGAGAUCCCAGACCCAUCGUUUCG